rnacentral:rRNA from 1 species
CCCCUAGUAACUGCGAGUGAAGCGGGAAAAGCUCAAAUUUAAAAUCUGGCAGCCUUCGGUUGUCCGAGUUGUAGUCUGGAGAAGUGCUUUCCGCGCUGGACCGUGUACAAGUCUCUUGGAACAGAGCGUCAUAGAGGGUGAGAAUCCCGUCUUUGACACGGACUACCAGUGCUUUGUGAUGCGCUCUCAAAGAGUCGAGUUGUUUGGGAAUGCAGCUCAAAAUGGGUGGUAAAUUCCAUCUAAAGCUAAAUAUUGGCGAGAGACCGAUAGCGAACAAGUACCGUGAGGGAAAGAUGAAAAGCACUUUGGAAAGAGAGUUAAACAGUACGUGAAAUUGCUGAAAGGGAAACACUUGAAGUCAGUCGCGUCUUCUAGAACUCAGCCUUGCUUUUUGCUCGGUGCACUUUCUAGUUUGACGGGCCAGCAUCGAUUUUGACUGUUGGAUAAAGGGUAGAGGAAUGUGGCAUCUUCGGAUGUGUUAUAGCCUCUGCUCACAUACAAUGGUUGGGAUCGAGGAACUCAGCACGCCUUUAUGGUCGGGGUUCGCCCACGUUCGUGCUUAGGAUGCUGGCGUAAUGGCUUUAAAUGACCCGUCUUGAAACACGGACCAAGGAGUCUAACAUGCCUGCGAGUAUUUGGGUGGUAAACCCGAGUGCGCAAUGAAAGUGAAAGUUGAGACCUCUGUCGUGGAGGGCAUCGACGCCCGGAUCAGACCUUCUGUGACGAUUCCGCGGUAGAGCAUGUAUGUUGGGACCCGAAAGAUGGUGAACUAUGCCUGAAUAGGGUGAAGCCAGAGGAAACUCUGGUGGAGGCUCGUAGCGAUUCUGACGUGCAAAUCGAUCGUCAAAUUUGGGUAUAGGGGCGAAAGACUAAUCGAACCAUCUAGUA